CUCCUCCCCCUUUUUUCUCUCUUCUCUGUGUGGAGGUGUCGGCCUAGUAGACCAGUACCGUCUGGCCGUGAGCAGGGAGAUGGACAAACCUGUGACAGCCCCCCUCCAGCCCCCCCGAGAACCACCCACCCAUCACCCGUGGCACCAGGACCCACCGCAGUGGUGUCCCCCUGGAUCAACUCACACCCAGAGGCCUGACAUGUGGUAGAGGUGACAAUCAUCACUCCCCAAUCAGUCACCAAUCAGCCACAAUCAGAAGACACCUGUUCCUUUUCCCUCAACCAAUCACAUCCCCUUUCCCUUGGUUUAAAAACCCAUUCAGUUGUUUUCUCCCCAGAUCAAUCUCUGUGUCUUCUCGCUGUGUCUUCGUCUCUCUGUCUGUAUUGAUCUCUCUUUUGUUUUGCAACUACAUGUCACAUUUGUCUGGUUAUCCUGUGAGUAUUGUUUUGUUGGUUGACUGUUUGUUUGUUUGGUGGGAAAAGGGGGUACCAAGACAAGUCGCCCAUGGGCAUACAUUACCCGUAGGAAUACUUUGUCUAAGUACCCUAGUUAGACCUGGGCGGACCACCCACUGUAUUUUUGGUUAGUUAGCUAGC
rnacentral:lncRNA from 1 species